GGGGGCGUAGCUCAGAUGGUAGAGCGGUCGCUUAGCAUGCGAGAGGUACGGGGUUCGAUACCCGCGUCUCCA
rnacentral:tRNA from 1 species